rnacentral:rRNA from 1 species
GAUGAACGCUGGCGGCGUGCCUAAUACAUGCAAGUCGAACGCACAGCGAAAGGUGCUUGCACCUUUCAAGUGAGUGGCGAACGGGUGAGUAACACGUGGACAACCUGCCUCAAGGCUGGGGAUAACAUUUGGAAACAGAUGCUAAUACCGAAUAAAACUUAGUGUCGCAUGACACAAAGUUAAAAGGCGCUUUGGCGUCCCCUAGAGAUGGAUCCGCGGUGCAUUAGUUAGUUGGGGGGGUAAAGGCCUACCAAGACAAUGAUGCAUAGCCUGGUUGAGAGACUGAUCAGCAGCAUUGGGACUGAGACACGGCCCAAACUCCUACGGAGGGGUGCAGUAGGGAAUCUGCCACAAUGGGCGAAAGCCUGAUGGAGCAACGCCGCGUGUGUGAUGAAGGCUUUCGGGUCGUAAAGCACUGUUGUAUGGGAAGAACAGCUAGAAUAGGGAAUGAUUUUAGUAUGACGGUACCAUACCAGAAAGGGACGGCUAAAUACGUGCCAGCCGCCGCGGUAA